GAGUGGCGAACGGGUGAGUAACACGUGAGCAACCUGCCCUUGACUCUGGGAUAACAGUUGGAAACAGCUGCUAAUACCGGAUACGACCCUCGAUGACAUCAUCGGGGGUGGAAAGCGUUUAGCGGUCAAGGAUGGGCUCGCGGCCUAUCAGCUUGUUGGUGAGGUAACGGCUCACCAAGGCUUCGACGGGUAGCCGGCCUGAGAGGGCGACCGGCCACACUGGGACUGAGAUACGGCCCAGACUCCUACGGGAGGCAGCAGUGGGGAAUAUUGCACAAUGGGCGCAAGCCUGAUGCAGCAACGCCGCGUGCGGGAUGACGGCCUUCGGGUUGUAAACCGCUUUCAGUUCCGACGAAGCGCAAGUGACGGUAGGAACAGAAGAAGGACCGGCCAACUACGUGCCAGCAGCCGCGGUGAUACGUAGGGUCCGAGCGUUGUCCGGAAUUAUUGGGCGUAAAGGGCUUGUAGGCGGUUUGUCGCGUCGGAAGUGAAAACUCAGGGCUUAACCCUGAGCCUGCUUCCGAUACGGGCAAACUAGAGGGAUGCAGGGGAGAAUGGAAUUCCUGGUGGAGCGGUGGAAUGCGCAGAUAUCAGGAGGAACACCGGUGGCGAAGGCGGUUCUCUGGGCAUUUCC
rnacentral:rRNA from 1 species